rnacentral:misc_RNA from 1 species
UUGUGGAGGAGGACGCCGAAGGUGGGGCUAAUGACUGGGGUGAAGUCGUAACAAGGUAGCCGUACCGGAAGGUGCGGCUGGAUCACCUCCUAACAGGGAGACAACAAAAUGUUUAAUAUUAUUAUUUUGUCACCUUAGGUCGAUCGGUAUCUCACGUUUUUAAUUUAUUAAGAAUUUCAUUUCCUAAGUUUUUCUAGGUCACACCCAUUAUUUUUCCUGGGCCAUUAGCUCAGGUGGUUAGAGCGCACCCCUGAUAAGGGUGAGGUCCCUGGUUCAAGUCCAGGAUGGCCCAUAUCUCUAUGUUGGGGGUAUAGCUCAGUUGGUAGAGCGCCUGCUUUGCAAGCAGGAUGUCAGCGGUUCGAGUCCGCUUACCUCCACUGAUCACCGCCUCUUCCAUAAUUGGUAAAAAGGAAAUUUUUUGAGUUGUGAUCAAAUUCUGAAAGAAUCUAGCUUCCUAAUGAAUUCAUUAAGAUGCUGGACUCAUUGAAUUAAUUUCAUUGUUUUCAGAGAACCUUGACAACUGCAUAGAUUAUUUUUAAAGACAAUAAGCAUCUUUAAUGAUGCAGAUUUAUUAUUUGUGCAAAUGCAUUAAUAACAAUUCUAUUAAGCUGAUGCUUCAAUAUUUGAAGUUAUUGGUCAAGCUACAA